UGCAGGUAAUGUAAGAACAUUUGCUCUCUGCAAGAAGUGAUGACGCUUUGCACCACCAAGAUCGCUGGUGCA